rnacentral:rRNA from 1 species
UCGUCAGCUCGUGUCGUGAGAUGUUGGGUUAAGUCCCGCAACGAGCGCAACCCUCGCCCUUAGUUGCCAGUCAUUUAGUUGGGCACUCUAAGGGGACUGCCGGUAGAUAAGCCGAGAGGAAGUGGGGAUGACGUCAAGUCCUCAUGGCCCUUACGGGCUGGGCGUACACACGUGCUACAAUGGUGGUGACAGUGGCAGCGAGCACGCGAGUGUGAGCUAAUCUCCAAAAGCCAUCUCAGUUCGGAUUGCACUCUGCAACUCGACUGCGUGAAGUCGGAAUCGCUAGUAAUCGUGAAUCAGAAUGUCACGGUGAAUACGUUCCCGGGCCUU